rnacentral:rRNA from 1 species
CCUACGGGAGGCAGCAGUGGGGAAUUUUGCGCAAUGCUCGUAAGAGUGACGCAGCGACGCCGCGUGAAUGACGAAGGCUUUCUGGUUGUUAAGUUCCUUCUAUAGGGAAGUAAAUGUAUAUAAGUAACUGUGUAUGCAUUUACGGUACCUGUAUAAGUAGCCUAGGUUAAUUCCGUGACAGCAGCUGCGGUAAUACGGAGGGGGUGAGCGUUGUUUGGUGUGACUGGGUGUAAAGAGCUCGUAGGUGGUGUUAUAAGUCAUUAGUCAAAGACUAGAGCUCAACUUUAGAAAGGCUAGUGAUACUGUAAAACUAGAGUAUCAGUGAGGAAUGCAGAAUGCCUGGUGUAGCGGUGAAAUGCGUAGAUAUCAGGAAGAAUACCGAUAGCGAAGGCGGCAAUCUAACUGAAAACUGACGCUGAGGUGCGAAAGCGUGGGGAGCAAACAGGAUUAGAUACCCCUGUAGUC